rnacentral:tRNA from 1 species
GGAAUGGGGUAUUCAAGUGGAAGCUUCUAACUUUUGACUUAAGCGAUGAAACUUCGUUUACAUUCCU